CCCUGCCCUUUGUACACACCGCCCGUCGCUACUACCGAUUGAAUGGCUUAGUGAGGCCUCCGGAUUGGCUUUGAGGAGCCGGCAACGGCACCUUAUCGCUGAGAAGCUGGUCAAACUUGGUCAUUUAGAGG
rnacentral:rRNA from 1 species